rnacentral:tRNA from 1 species
UCGAGGCAGUAGUUUAAUUAAAAUACUGGCAUUGGAAGCCAGAGAUUAGGUGAAGAUUCCUAUUCCUUGAA